AUUUGCUUACCGAGCGGCAGACGCUGGAAUGAACACCAGAUGGGGAGGAGGAAUGAGUCAGCAUCCUGACUGGCGACCCCUAGUGGCCCACGCGUGCACUACAGCCACUUCCGCAAUCUUUGAAAUGCCUGAUGCCUGGGGAUGAAAGACGACCAGAACAACUAAUCGGAUGGUGCCAGCUACAGGGAACGAGAUGCCCUGGACCAAUGGGGCACGGGUGGAGCGUAUAAAAACACAUCCCGAUCCCGCAAUAAACGAGUCCACUUCCGCUUCUC
rnacentral:lncRNA from 1 species